rnacentral:rRNA from 1 species
GGAUGAGCCCGCGGCCUAUCAGCUUGUUGGUGGGGUAAUGGCCUACCAAGGCGACGACGGGUAGCCGGCCUGAGAGGGUGACCGGCCACACUGGGACUGAGAUACGGCCCAGACUCCUACGGGAGGCAGCAGUGGGGAAUAUUGCACAAUGGGCGCAAGCCUGAUGCAGCGACGCCGCGUGAGGGAUGACGGCCUUCGGGUUGUAAACCUCUUUCAGUAGGGACGAAGCGCAAGUGACGGUACCUAUAGAAGAAGGACCGGCCAACUACGUGCCAGCAGCCGCGGUAAUACGUAGGGUCCGAGCGUUGUCCGGAAUUACUGGGCGUAAAGAGCUCGUAGGUGGUUUGUCGCGUUGUUCGUGAAAACUCACAGCUUAACUGUGGGCGUGCGGGCGAUACGGGCAGACUGGAGUACUGCAGGGGAGACUGGAAUUCCUGGUGUAGCGGUGGAAUGCGCAGAUAUCAGGAGGAACACCGGUGGCGAAGGCGGGUCUCUGGGCAGUAACUGACGCUGAGGAGCGAAAGCGUGGGGAGCGAACAGGAUUAGAUACCCUGGUAGUCCACGCCGUAAACGGUGGGUACUAGGUGUGGGUUUCCUUCCUUGGGAUCCGUGCCGUAGCUAACGCAUUAAGUACCCCGCCUGGGGAGUACGGCCGCAAGGCUAAAACUCAAAGGAAUUGACGGGGGCCCGCACAAGCAGCGGAGCAUGUGGCUUAAUUCGACGCAACGCGAAGAACUUACCAAGGCUUGACAUACACCGGAAAGCAUCAGAGAUGGUGCCCCCCUUGUGGUCGGUGUACAGGUGGUGCAUGGCUGUCGUCAGCUCGUGUCGUGAGAUGUUGGGUUAAGUCCCGCAACGAGCGCAACCCUUGUUCUGUGUUGCCAGCAUGCCCUUCGGGGUGAUGGGGACUCACAGGAGACUGCCGGGGUCAACUCGGAGGAAGGUGGGGACGACGUCAAGUCAUCAUGCCCCUUAUGGCUUGGGCUGCACACGUGCUACAAUGGCCGGUACAAAGAGCUGCGAAACCGUGAGGUGGAGCGAAUCUCAAAAAGCCGGUCUCAGUUCGGAUUGGGGUCUGCAACUCGACCCCAUGAAGUCGGAGUUGCUAGUAAUCGCAGAUCAGCAUUGCUGCGGUGAAUACGUUCCCGGGCCUUGUGCACACCGCCCGUCACGUCACGAAAGUCGGUAACACCCGAAGCCGGUGGCCCAACCCCUUGUGGGAGGGAGCUGUCGAAGGUGGGGCUGG